GGGGGCGACCUGGCUUCGACGUGGGUUGCAAAGCAACGCAGGGCAUACCGAGGACCAGUCACCUCGUAAAUCCAUCUGGAAACGCAAUAACUGCGAACGACGAACGUUUCGCUCUCGCCGCCUAAUACCGGCGAGCUCUGCACCGGUUGGUUCAUGGGCCGGGUAACGCAAGUUACAGCAGAGUCAUUUACAUGAGCUCGCGUGCUGCAGGGUCACUUUGCAGCACGCCAAAUCCAAGGUGACUCGCCGUACGUAAGCCUGCCGGGUUGGCGGACGUGCGGUCAGACUAAAUAAUUCGGCUAAGUAUGUAGAACUGCCUGUAGAGUACUUGCGGACGCGGGUUCGAUUCCCGCCGCCUCCACCA
rnacentral:tmRNA from 1 species